UACAAGGGGGGCAAAUGUUGUUCGGAAUCACUGGGCGUAAAGGGAGCGUAGGCGGGUUCUUAAGUUAGGUGUUUAAUCCCGGGGCCCAACCCCGGACCGGCACUUAAAACUGGGAAUCUUGAAUAGUGGAGAGGUCGGUGGAAUUGGAGGUGUAGCGGUGGAAUGCGUAGAGAUCUCCAAGAACACCAGUUGCGAAGGCGGCCGACUGGACACAUAUUGACGCUGAGGCUCGAAAGCAUGGGGAGCAAACAGG
rnacentral:rRNA from 1 species